AUGGACAAGGUUCUACUCUCCAUCCACAUAGUGAUAUUUGGUGCACUUCUCUUGUUCAGCAGAGGCAAGAGCUUUGUACAGUCAUCAUCAUCUUCUCACACACAUCCAAACCAUACGGUCACAAGCUGUAAUGCUAGUGAGAGGUCUGCACUUCUCGGCUUCAAAGCAGGCCUCUCGGACCCUGCAUACCUCCUUUCAUCAUGGAAGGGUGAUGAGUGUUGCAAAUGGAAGGGCGUCCACUGCAGCACUAGAAACAGCCAUGUCGUCAAGCUCGAUCUCCCGGGCCAUGGUUGUGACCCCAACAGCGAUGCGUGGACGCAAGUGCUAGGAGGCAACAUCAGCUCCUCUUUGCUUGGUCUACGACAUCUACAGUAUCUUGAUCUUAGCUGCAAUGGGUUCUAUGGGGUGCAAGUGCCGGAGUUCUUGGGUUCUCUCCACAAGUUGAGAUAUGUCGACCUAUCGAGUUUAAGCUUCAUAGGAAGGAUACCACCGCAGCUGGGUAAUCUCUCCAACUUACAAUACUUAAAUCUCAACUCAGAAUAUUUCAAUGCCAUAUACUCUAUGGAUAUCACCUGGUUGUCACAGUUAACUUCCCUUGUGCACCUGGACCUGAGCGGCACGAACCUCAGUACAAUUGUUCACUGGCUUCCGGUGGUGAACAUGCUUCCAUCUCUCAAAGUUCUUCAUCUUAUCAAUUGCAAUCUUAGAACUAGCUCUGCUUCAUUUCAGCUUUCAAAUCUGACUUCUCUCGAAACUCUUGACCUUUCCGCCAAUGGCUUCCAUACACACAUCGCACGCAACUGGUUUUGGGAUUUGACUAGCCUCAAGUAUCUAUAUGUCUCAUCGAAUGGUUUCUAUGGCCAAUUUCCGGACGAGAUUGGUAAUAUGACAUCGAUGGUAAAGCUUGAUUUAUCAUCGAAUAACCUUGUUGGCAUGAUACCGUCAAACCUGAAGAACAUAUGUAGUUUGGAAGAGUUCUUUGUACAUGAAACCAACAUCAAUGGAAGUAUAACAAAAUUCUUCCAGCGUUUGCCUAGUUGUUCAUGGAAUAAGUUGACAUACUUGUCUCUAGCUUCCAGCAACUUGACAGGGAGAUUACCAACCAAACUAGAACCCUUAAACAAUUUGAUCUACCUUGAUAUCAGUCGUAACAAGCUCAUUGGUCCUAUGCCACUCUGGAUAGGAGAGCUCACAAAGCUAACUUACCUAGACCUGGGCUACAACAACUUGGAUGGUUUCAUACAUGAAGGUCAUUUAUCAGGACUAGAAAGCUUGGAGUAUCUGUGGCUCUCUGAUAAUUCCUUAACCCUCACAGUGAAUUCGACAUGGGUUCCUCCUUCAAGUCUAACAAAUAUUGAACUUCAGUCAUGCCUUCUCGGGCCUAAAUUUCCACCAUGGCUUCGAUGGCUAACAAGUCUAGACAAUCUUGAUAUCUCAAACACAAGCAUAUCCGACACGGUUCCAGAUUGGUUUUGGAUAACGGCUUCUACAUUGUACACUCUAAAAAUGGGACAUAACAAAAUUAGUGGUUCUCUUCCAUCUACAAUAGAAUUUAUGGGAGCAACUGCAAUUGAUCUUGGUUCUAACCAGUUCAAUGGCACAAUACCUAAGCUUCCCAUUAGUCUAAGUGACUUGAAUCUUAGUAGAAAUAAAUUAGAUGGACCACUACCACUAGAUUUUGGAACGCCGAAUCUAAUGAAACUAGUUUUAUUUGAUAACUCCAUAUCUGGCACCAUUCCCUCUUCAUUUUGCAAGAUGAGAUCACUAAUACUAUUGGAUAUCUCCGGAAAUAAGCUAAAUGGACCAAUUCCUGAUUGCUCUGCUAAUACAUCCACAACAAACAUGACCAGUAUGAGUAUUCUUAACCUAAGCUUAAGAAACAACAAUCUCUCCGGUGAAUUUCCUUCAUUUCUCCAACACUGCCAAGAACUCGUCUUUCUUGAUCUUCCACACAACCAUUUCGUUGGAACUUUGCCAACAUGGAUUCGGGAGAAAUUGCCACGGUUGGCUUUCUUACGACUACGAUCGAACAUGUUCUGUGGUCACAUUCCAGAGGAGCUGAUGAAGCUAGUCAAGCUUCAGUAUUUGGACCUUGCCUACAAUAAUAUAACUGGUAGCAUACCAAAAUCUAUUGUUAACUGCAAAGGGAUGAUAGAAACAAGAGAUAAUUAUGAUGAUGGUGGUGACGCAUUACAUCAUGCUUUUGGCUUCAAUGAUGAAUGGGAACAUGGCCCUAAUGAAUUGGUCACCUAUACCGAGAAUUUCACGGUUGUCACAAAGGGUCAAGAGAGAGAUUAUAUACAGGAGAGGUCAUAUACAUGGUGA
rnacentral:rRNA from 1 species